rnacentral:rRNA from 1 species
CUUAGGGUUCGUAGGUGACCUGCGGAGGAUCAUUAAGAAAUCAGGGAGCGCCACCGUGGCGCCACCCAGUAUUCAACCCACUGUGUACCCUUACCACGUUGCUUCCCCAGGCCAGCGGCCACUGCCGCCAGCCCGACCCCUUCCGCGGUCGUGGUCCUGAGGUGCCUGGGGGAGGGCCCGACCCCAAAAUCGUCGCUGAUCCAGGCAGUCUGAGCAGGCCACCCGCCUGACUAUGUAACAUGUUAAAACUUUCAACAACGGAUCUCUUGGCUCUCGCAUCGAUGAAGAACGCAGCGAAAUGCGAUAAGUAAUGUGAAUUGCAGAAUUCAGUGAAUCAUCGAAUCUUUGAACGCACAUUGCGCCCUCUGGCAUUCCUCAGGGCAUGCCUGUUCGAGCGUCAAUAGAAACCCUCCCAGUCACCCUCCCGGUGGUGCUGCGGUAGGUGGUUCGCCCUCCGGGCAUUGGGAUCACCCCCCGCGAAAUUCAUGGGCCCGUGUGCCGACAGCUGCCAAUGACUUUGUAAGCGCUGGCGAAGCCAGAGUCAGUCAGCGGGGCUUGUCGGUCGGCGCCCCCCCGCUGGACCCCCCAAUCCAGCAUCAUGACAAUACAUGGGUUGACCUCGGAUCAGGUAGGGAUACCCGCUGAACUUAAGCAUAUCAAA